UACGUAGGUGGCUAGCGUUGUCCGGAUUUACUGGGCGUAAAGAGCGCGCAGGCGGUCGUUCAAGUCGAGUGUGAAAGCCCCCGGCUCAACUGGGGAGGGUCACUCGAUACUGAUCGACUCGAAGGCAGGAGAGGGAAGUGGAAUUCCCGGUGUAGUGGUGAAAUGCGUAGAUAUCGGGAGGAACACCGGUGGCGAAGGCGGCAUCC
rnacentral:rRNA from 1 species